rnacentral:lncRNA from 1 species
CCCUACUUUUCUUUUCAUAUUUUUAUUACAUAUUAUUCAAAAAGCCAUAUUUGAAAAUCUCAUGAAAUCCUUGUUAUUUUUUCAUAGUUUUUUAAACAAAAAAGGUGUCAAUGUUAAGUAAAAGAAAACUCUAGAGAGAAUUAUUUCCCGCCAAAUUUUCAACAGCUUAUAUCUCGAAAACAAGCACACGGACCCUCCAUUUUUUUCUGCUUUUUAAGUUUCUUUAUUUAUAUACUUUCAAUUUAUAACAAUCUUUUAAAAAGUUUGUUAUUUUUAAACAAAGUAGCGAACAUCCUUAAUAAACUUCUGAAAAAGCUUAAAAGAGGGUGGUAAAGGGUUAUUUUCGUGCAACGUUUUCGGCCUUUUUAUUUCACGUGUUUUCGUGUUUUGACAUAUUAUUUCUCGUUUUCUCGUGUUUGGUUUGACGUGCGUGCCUCGUGUUCUGCUUUAUUUAUUUUUCGUGUUUCGUGUCGGUACUCUUAAUUUCUCGUGCCUGUCCCGCAUUUGAUUAAAAAGUAAACCGGGACUAAAUUCAAAGUCAGUCCGGAGAUUGUUUUAAAUUAUGUGUCCCCAAAAUACUAAAAUUGCUAUGAAAUUAAUUAUUAUGAAUAAUAUUUUCUUUCAAAUCAGUUGCAACUAGCGGACGCUAAAAUGUGACUGCAAGGUCAUCAUGUCCAUUAUAUAAUGACUAGAUGAUCUCCAAGAACGGCCGAUUAAUAAAUUAUUUUUACUUUUUCCAUUAAUAUUUACGAUUGUAUUUCUCGUGCUUCGUUUUUUCCGAUUUUUAUUUUCCGUGCAACGUUUUUGCGAUUUUUAUUUCAC